rnacentral:lncRNA from 1 species
GAGAAGUUGAGAUGCAUCAGAAUGUCCUUCCUAGUAAUUCUGCUCUUGAUCUGUUUGCAGUAUCUUCUGAAUAGCCUCUGUGACAGUUCUAGGAUAAAUCCUGCGCAAAUUGGUUAGAAUAUAUCUAAUGAGAAUGAUGCAUUAAUAAAGUCCUUUGUCUUUUUGGUUUGUAGGAGCUAUGAGGAUCACUUUCAUUCAAGACAGAUUCUUUAGAGAACUCAGCUAGUAAGAUCUUUGAAAAUCUCUGCAGGACAUGUUUGAGAUUGAUUGCAAUGAUGAACACCUUAGGUUGGCCUGGAGACAGAAGGAUGGAAGCUGGAGAAAAGCUACGUCUGUGGAGUUUCUGAAGAGCUUGGGGAAAGGUCAGGAAAUAAACUCCAGGGAAAGGAAAGAGCAGAUGGUGCAUAAGAGCACAGAAGGAACAGAUCCUAGCUAUUUCCAGCACAGAGCAUCUUGGAGUCAACAGUUGAAGAAAUGAAUUAGUACACCUCUUCCCUGUGCCUGAAAUUCAUUACUUUUCCUUAAUAAGGAAACUCAUAUUCCAGAGAAAAUUGGCCACUGAAAGCAGAAGACUGCCUAGAACCAAAGGCUAUUCAGCCGGGGAAAGCUAAUCAUUCAAGGUACUCUCCAUUUUGUACCAAUUACAGAGAGGACAACCUAUGGCUGGGCUCUUAAGCAGCUCAAAAUCUCUGUCUUGUGACUAUGAGGGAGAGAGGAAGACUAGG